rnacentral:rRNA from 1 species
GACAGAGGGGGCAAGCGUUGCUCGGAAUUACUGGGCGUAAAGGGCGCGUAGGCGGGAUGGCAAGUCGGUCGUGAAAUCCCUCGGCUCAACUGAGGAGCGUCGAUCGAAACUGCCGUUCUUGAGGGUUGCAGAGGAGACUGGAAUUCCCGGUGUAGCGGUGAAAUGUGUAGAGAUCGGGAGGAACACCAGUGGCGAAGGCGACACGCUGGGCCAUACCUGACGCUAAAGCGCGACAGCAUGGGGAGCAAACGGG